rnacentral:rRNA from 1 species
GGGUAUCGCGCGAUUCCCUUGAGUUUGAUAUGGCUCAGAACGAACGCUGGCGGCGUGGAUAAGACAUGCAAGUCGAACGGGAACUUUUUCUCCCGCAAGGGAGGAAAAGUUCUAGUGGCGAACGGGUGCUUAACACGUGGGCAACCUGCCAGGAAGUGGGGGAUAGCUCGCCGAAAGGCGAAUUAAUACCGCAUGUGAUUAGAGUGGACAUCCAUUCGAAAUUAAAGUCGGGGCAACCUGACGCUUCUUGUGGGGCCCGCGGCCUAUCAGCUAGUUGGUGAGGUAACGGCUCACCAAGGCUUUGACGGGUAGCUGGUCUGAGAGGACGACCAGCCACACUGGGACUGAGACACGGCCCAGACACCUACGGGUGGCAGCAGUCGAGAAUUUUUGACAAUGGGGGAAACCCUGAUCGAGCGACGCCGCGUGGAGGAUGAAGGUCUUCGGAUUGUAAACUCCUGUCAUUGGGGAACAAGGUGCAUACGUUAACUGCGUGUGCAUUGAUAGUACCCGAAGAGGAAGAGACGGCUAACUCUGUGCCAGCAGCCGCGGUAAUACAGAGGUCUCAAGCGUUGUUCGGAUUCAUUGGGCGUAAAGGGUGCGUAGGCGGCGCGGUAAGUCGGGUGUGAAAUCUCGGAGCUUAACUCCGAAACUGCAUUCGAUACUGCCGUGCUUGAGGACUGGAGAGGAAACUGGAAUUUACGGUGUAGCGGUGAAAUGCGUAGAUAUCGUAAGGAAGACCAGUGGCGAAGGCGGGUCUCUGGACAUUUCCUGA